rnacentral:rRNA from 1 species
AUGCUUGAUGUGCCAGAGCCUCAAGUUCCCUACAUCUACAUGGUGGCCCAACAUUUAACCUGGAGCAGCAAAUUCUGUUUGUGUUUCAACCCCGCCGUUCCCUCCCGCUUUGUGGUUUUCGCGUUCGUUGAGAGAGGCCACACCAUAGUGGCAGUAAGGGUCUACUCAUCCGAUACCGGAGAAUGGACGUCCAAGGAGAGCGGUCGCCAUAUUGUGGAAUAUGGUGGUGAACCAGUAUACGACUUUUUCGACGAUACUCUGUAUCUCAGAGCCUAUGAUCAUGGAGAUGACAGGUUCUAUCCGAAGGGGAAACUAAUACCCUCGAUAUUUACAGUGAACACGGACGGGGAUACUUGGAGGAGAAUUCCAAUGCCACCCCAAGUUCAUUUUUCUUUCAUUGGGCACGCUCAGGGACACUUAUACGGUCUGGACAUAGAGCAUGUUAAUGAUUGCAUGCUAUCGGUUUGGGUUCUCAAGGAUUAUGCUAGUGGAAUGUGGACCUUAAAACAUACUGCCAGCAUCUUGAAACUGCUAGGAAGGUCUUAUCGUGAGCUCGGUGAACAAUAUAUGGUGGCUGCGGUCCAUCCAGAAUGUAACCUGAUCUUCCUUGUUGGUUGGAUGAGAUCGCAAGAGACACUUAUGUCAUAUGAUAUGGAUAGUCAGAAACUGCACGUUAUCUGCACUCUUGACGAUUACCAGAUGUCAACGCUCCGACCUUACAUUCCCUGCUUUGCGGAAUGGCCGCCGUCAAAUGCUCAUUGA